AUAAAUACGCGGUGGGUCCAUGCAGGUUUUAGUGGCAUGCUUGGGCAACAAAUUUGAAGUCAGUUGUCCAAAUCUCGAUUUGCCGAUGGGAGUCGGAGGAAAAUGUGCAAGUGUUAAUGUGUGUGUACAUGUGCAAGGCAGCCGCCUUGUCAGCAAACAUGUCUCCAUGUCCCCUUCCGUCAAAACUCCAUGCUUGUUCACACCGUGACUCUGAAUACUCUCAUGGAAAAUAUUUGCAACGCAAAGUCAAAACCCGUAAUUCAUUAUUUGUAUACAUAUUCAGAUGUUUAUAUCCGUUACCCCUUUCAUCCUAAAUUAUAUAAUACUAUUUGGUUGGUGGCAGAGGCCUGGGACUCCGAGACGCCCAUUGAGCGGUGACGUUUCGUUUGUAGGAAGUUGAGAGUCUACUAUACUAUUUGGUUAGUGUUUCCUAGUACUCAGAUCGAAAAAAAAGUUCUCAAGCUCGUUCGCCCCCGACACUUCGGUUCAGCUCCAUACCUAAAUCGUUGACACGAUAAAAGCAGCUGGAUCGAGAGUGAGAAGGGCUUGGAGAAAAAGUUGAGCGACUUAAGUGUCGAUCAACUGUACACAUAUGAGACGAACAAGAAUAAUAAAGAGAACAGCGUCUUUGCCACUGAGCAUGUCGUGGAAAAGCUACUGGAAAAGCUCGCCCAUAAAUUGGAGCCUGCACGAAUAAGGCCCGCCUUUUAGUACUGGAAAAUUACUUGGUGAAACUGACAGAGAAGGAAGCUACCGAAGUGGAAAAAAAUGACCACCGUACUUUUUAAAGAGAUCGAGGCCAUACAAAUGGAGAAAUAUAGAGAGGAGAAUAAAUAUAAAUAUUAUGCAUUUU